rnacentral:rRNA from 1 species
AGAGUUUGAUCUCUGGCUCAGGAUGAACGCUGGCGGCGUGCUUGACACAUGCAAGUCGAACGGGAAAUACUUUAUUGAAACUUCGGUGGAUUUAAUUUAUUUCUAGUGGCGGACGGGUGAGUAACGCGUGGGUAACCUGCCUUAUACUGGGGGAUAACAGCCAGAAAUGACUGCUAACACCGCAUAAGCGCACAGAACCGCAUGGUUCGGUGUGAAAAACUCCGGUGGUAUAAGAUGGACCCGCGUUGGAUUAGCUAGUUGGCAGGGCAGCGGCCUACCAAGGCGACGAUCCAUAGCCGGCCUGAGAGGGUGAACGGCCACAUUGGGACUGAGACACGGCCCAAACUCCUACGGGAGGCAGCAGUGGGGAAUAUUGCACAAUGGGGGAAACCCUGAUGCAGCGACGCCGCGUGAAGGAAGAAGUAUUUCGGUAUGUAAACUUCUAUCAGCAGGGAAGAAAAUGACGGUACCUGACUAAGAAGCCCCGGCUAACUACGUGCCAGCAGCCGCGGUAAUACGUAGGGGGCAAGCGUUAUCCGGAUUUACUGGGUGUAAAGGGAGCGUAGACGGCAUGGCAAGUCUGAUGUGAAAACUUGGGGCUCAACCCCAAGACUGCAUUGGAAACUGUUAAGCUAGAGUGCAGGAGAGGUAAGCGGAAUUCCUGGUGUAGCAGUGAAAUGCGUAGAUAUCGAGAGGAACACUCGUGGCGAAGGCGGGUUCCUGGACAUUAACUGACGCUGAGGCACGAAGGCCAGGGGAGCGAAAGGGAUUAGAUACCCCUGUAGUCCUGGCAGUAAACGGUG